ensembl:lncRNA
GUGGUGUGGGAUUCGACCACGAUGCAGGCACGUAUGUCACCUGCUCGGAUCGAGUCGAUCCUCGCCGCAGUCACGAGAGUAAGAAAAUGCCGGUCACUCACUGUCAAGCAGUUUCAAAAACUGCUGGGUCUGAUGACAGCUGCGUCCAACAUUAUACCUAUUGGCCUGCUGUACAUGAGACCCCUACAGUGGUGGCUCAAGACCAAGGGGUUCUCCCCGAGGGGAAACCCACUUCGCAUGAUCAAGGUCACGCAGCGCUGCCUACGUGCCUUGGACAUGUGGAGGAAACCUUGGUUCUUGUCUCAGGGCCCGGUGCUGGGAGCUCCUUGUCGCCGCGUGACGCUAGCGACGGACGCAUCCCUCACUGGCUGGGGUGCGGUCAUGAGUGGCCACCCUGCCCACGGUCUGUGGAGUGGUCGCCAUCUGACAUGGCACAUAAACUGCCUGGAGAUGCUGGCCGUGCUCCGAGCACUACAACAUUUUCUCCCAGACCUAAGAGGUCACCAUGUGUUGGUGCGCACCGACAACACAGCGGUGGUCUCUUACAUCAACCACCAAGGAGGUCUGCGCACACGCCGUUUUUACAAACUAGCGUACCAGAUCCUUGUGUGGUCCCAGGACGAACUUCUCUCAUUGAGAGCAGUUAACAUUUCUGCGCAUCUCAAUUUGGGAGCAGACAUCCUGUCGAGGCAGGGGCCGAGGCCCGGGGAAUGGCGGCUUCACACCGAGGUGGUGAAGCAGAUUUGGAGAGUUUUUGGCCAGGCUCAGAUGGACCUGUUUGCAACUCGUCAGACAUCGCACUGUCCCCUCUGGUUCUCUCUGACUCAUCCAGCUCCACUGGGGCUGGACGCCAUGGUACAGACGUGGCUGAGGCUUCGUCUGUACGCCUUUCCCCCGAUCGCUCUGCUCCCAGGAGUUCUGGCGAGAGUGCGCCGGGACGGGGUCCAGCUGCUACUGGUAGCCCCGUUCUGGCCGGGCCGAGUAUGGUUCUCGGACCUGAUUUCCCUCCUCGACGGCUCUCCAUGGGAGAUUCCCGUCAGGAGGGAUCUCCUCUCACAGGCGGAGGGCACUAUAGUCCAUCCCCGCCCGGAGCUGUGGAAGUUAUGGGUGUGGCCUCUGAGGGGGCACAACUCGUAGCUUCUGGUCUCUUAACCGAGGUUGUUGAGACCAUCCUCCAAUCCAGAGCUCCCUCAACGAGGAAACUGUACACCUUGAAGUGGAAGCUCUUCACUUCUUGGUGCAGAGACCACCAGCUCGACCCAGUUAACUGCCCGAUUGGU